AGAGUUUGAUCCAUGGCUCAGGAUGAACGCUAGCGGCAGGCCUAAUACAUGCAAGUCGAACGGUGGUAGCAAUACCAUAGUGGCGCACGGGUGCGUAACACGUAACUAACCUACCUAUAACUGGGGGAUAGCCCGCCGAAAGGCGGAUUAAUACCGCAUAAGCUGUUUGAGUGGCAUCACUCGAUUAGUAAAGAUUUAUUGGUUAUAGAUGGGGUUGCGGGUCAUUAGCUAGUUGGUAAGGUAACGGCUUACCAAGGCGACGAUGACUAGGGGAGCUGAGAGGCUGGUCCCCCACACGGGCACUGAGAUACGGGCCCGACUCCUACGGGAGGCAGCAGUAGGGAAUAUUGGGCAAUGGGCGAGAGCCUGACCCAGCCAUGCCGCGUGCAGGAAGAAGGCUUUCUGAGUCGUAAACUGCUUUAGACAGGAAAGAAUAAGCUGGUCGUGACCAGUGAUGACGGUACCUGCAGAAUAAGCC
rnacentral:rRNA from 1 species